rnacentral:rRNA from 1 species
UACGGAGGAUGCAAGCGUUGUUCGGAAUCACUGGGCUUAAAGAGCGUGUAGGUGGAAUGUCAGGCAUCGGGUGAAAUCCCUCGGCUCAACCGAGGAACUGCCUGGUGAACCGGCAUUCUUGAGGCAUGUAGAGGUGGCUGGAACGACAGGUGGAGCGGUGAAAUGCGUAGAUAUCUGUUGGAACGCUGGCGGCGAAAGCGAGCCACUGGGCAUGUCCUGACACUGAGACGCGAAAGCGUGGGGAGCAAACAGG